UAAGCUUACCCAAACAUGCCCUAACUGUCAUCUUCUUUAUUGUGAAUUACCCAACCAAACAGUAACCAUCUCACCAUUGUUUGUAUAUAUACACACAUAUUUGUAACUUUCAGUUCAUGAUUCCUAGAUGCUAGCUAUUGUUUCUAGUUUAUAUAUGAGAAAAAAAAAAAAAAAAAAACUAAACGAACAAAUGGGGAAGGAGUGGAGGAGUUGAUUAAUUGAUUUCCUCUCUCAAAUCUCCAACAUCACUAGUUCGGAUAUGUCAUAUUUGUUCGAUCACCUUGAACAAAAAACCUCUUCUCAAAUCCAGAAUCAUUCAAUCUCCCCUCUUAAUUUGUUAAAGACAGUUGCUGUGUAACUGUUUGCUCUACGGAUAAGUAUUUCACUCGUAUUAUUAAAGUAAUCACAAAUAAUAUUAUCCAAGACUCAUAUUACCGCACAGGCUUUGGCUAGCACACCCGAUGAAGAGGAACUAUCGAAUCUCAAAGAUCAGUAUUAUGCAAUUGUCGUCGAUAAAAAUGGCGCUAUUAGUCUUGAGGAAAUGAAAGAGAUAUGCAGAUAUGCUGAUUCGUGACACAAAACUGAAGCAGAUAAUUGAAGAAUUUGUUAAGCCACAAGUCACAACAAAGGAAGAGACAUGGUGAUUUUUGUGUGGGGAUUCGGAGGGCGAAGAGGGGUUUCGGAAGGAGGUUUGUCGAGUCGAAUUGUUCCUGGUGGAAUGCUGCGGUUAGCGGGUUUGGGAAUUCCGGGAAGGUGAGUGAUAUGGGUAAAUGAUCAGUGGUUUAGAUGGCAGUGGAUGGAGAUGUUGUUAGGAAUCAGUGGAUCCAUCAACAGUGGAUGAACAACAGAGGUUGUUAAUAACAGUGGAUUAGCAGCAGAGGUGGUUAGCUAACAGUGGAUCAGCAACAGAGGUUGUUAGUUAACAGGGGUUAGCAACAGAGGUUGUUAGUUAGUUGGGCGGUUACAAGGGUAGUUAGUUAACAGUUGUAGGGUUGUUGGGAAUGGGGUUAUAACUGCCAUUUUUUUUACAAAAAUAACUGCUUCUGGAAUGUGGUGAGUAGCUAAACGUAAAUCAGACAUGUAUGUUUAAAGUAACAUUUGACCAAGUUGACUUUUCUGAUGUGGAGGUAAGUGUAAAGUAACCGAUGACUGGAUGAAUGUCUAACGAGUUUUUCGAUGAUGUGUUUCUUCAGGUAUCUAUUUUGUUGUUUGUAUUCACACAAUGUGGCUCCAGAAGACAAGUUUAUUGCAUUGGUGACAACGAAAGCAGAGACUGACGACCCUGAGAUCAAAUUAAAGCCUGGUGUUGACCUUCUGGGACCUGUGGAUGAUGUCUUUUAUGAAACUUUGGACAGAUUUGAGCCAAGAGAUGAUGGUGCUGCUGAUAGCUGUUUCGUAUCUACGGCAAGUAGGCGUAUACGCAUUAUUUGUGGUUUAUAUUUAGUUAUAAAACCUAUCACCAUCGCAUCCUCUCCUUUACACACCUCUGGUUCGUCUCUCCUUUUAGGUUUCAGGCAGCCACAUAUAUGGCAAUUGCACCAUGUGAUUUGUUUGCUAAUGUGAUGAUUUGAUGAAGUAAUUUGCACUAAUAAAAUCAGUUAAUUUGUUACAAGGGCAGAAUGAGUUUUUGUCGGAGGUGUCGACGAUUGGGCGGCUUCGGCAUCGGAAUUUGGUGCAGUUGUUGGGUUGGUUUAGGAAUAAAGGUGAGUUGUUGUUGGUUUAUGAGUUUAUGGCUAAUGGAAGUUUGGAUAAGUGUAUAUAUAGUGGUAAUAAGCCUAAAUUGGUUUUGAGUUGGGAACAAAGGUUUAAGGUUAUAAAAGAUGUGGCAAAUGGGUUACUUUAUUUGCCUGAAGGGUGGGAAAAAACUGUGGUGCAUAGAGAUAUUAAAGCAGGAAAUGUGUUGUUGGAUUCGGAUUUAAAUGGUAAGUUAGGCGAUUUCGGGUUGGCUAAGUUGUAUGAGCAUCGGUCGAACCCGGUAACCACUAAAGUGGUGGGCACAUUGGGUUACUUGGCUCCUGAGCUAACCCGAAUGGAUAAGCCUACCACGGGUUCGGAUGUGUAUGCAUUCAGGGCUCUUUUGUUGGAAGUGGUGUGUGAACGGAGAUCUGCUGAGCUCAAGGCGUUUCCGGAGGAGCUCAUUUUGGUUGAUUGGGUUUGGGAUAAGUGGCGAGGAGGGUGUUUACUUGAUGUGGUGGAUUCGCGGUUGAAGGGUGAGUUUAAUGAGGCUGAAGCAGGGCCGGCCCUAGGGGUGGGCGACCCGCACCCCCGGCCAAGGCCCAAUUUCCCCGGGGGCCAAAAUUUUUUUAAUUUUUUUAUAUAACCAAGUAUUGAGUGAGCCCAUAAAUAUUUUGAAGUGAACUCUUAUAACGAAGUAAAUGAAUGUUCUGUCGGGGUUUGUCUUUAAGUAUAGUUAAAGAACUUAUAAGGUCACAGGUUCAAGUCACGUUUUUUUUUUUUUUUUUUUUUUUUUUUUGUGGUUAAACAUUGUACUGCUGCAUUUCAUACAUGGCCUGGAAGUUCCCACCCAACGGAAAACGAUCGGUUCACGCAGUGUUUCUUCUCACCUGUUGGGUACUUUGGAAAGCACGAAAUGCUAAAGUCUUUAAUGGUGCAGCCCCAUUUGUUUUCAAAAUCAUGCAGGAGGUAAAGAAGAUAUCUUUUGACUGGUUAAAACACUGAUCAAGAAUGAUUGGGGUUGAUUUGAAGUAGGUGGUGAACUGUGCCUGCACAACUUAAUUAUGUGAGGAUUGAACUGUUGGGUAUUGGAAUAGAGUUUGCUAUAAUUUUGCUGUAUGUUUGUAAGUCCCCUAAAGCAACUUGCUUGGGGAUUUUUUAUUCUUUGAUUAUUAAAGGAACGAUCCAUUUAACUAUUCGAAAAAAUUGAUCAAAAGUGCAAUAAUUUGGCUUUCGAUCCAAGGGUUGCAUUAUAAUAUGAUUUUAAGUUUUGUACAGUUCAACCGUUAAUGUUUUGUUUGGAAAAAUAUUGGCUUUUAAUUCAAGUUCUUUUAGAAAAAUGUUGCAGCAUGGGCUGUGGAAAUCCAAUGAAUUUAAAGGAUGGUGAGGAGAGCUAUCAAGAAUGCCAGGAGAGCUUCACGAAUCAUGGUUUAACUAUUACGGGUCUAAGGGCCUUUUUUUUCGGCUCGGCCGAGACACUUAAAUCCUCAGUGAUGUAGUGAGUGAUACGAUAAGCGAAGAUCAACACGUUGAUUCUACGAAUACCCGUGUGUCUCUUCCCCAACCCCCAAAUUGCAACCCAAAGGCCACGGAAUUUGAAGUGAAAAAUAAGUUUUCUCAAAAUUCAAGUCUGAUUGUUUCAUUGACUAAAGGGACAUAUAAAUAAUGACAGAAAUUCGAAACGGGCCUAAAAAAGACAACGGGCCAAACACAAGCCCAAAAACAAAAUGCCCAAAAUACUUGAAAAAACAUAAAAAUGGGAAAAACUAAUAGAAAUAAGCGUUUUCUCGGCCCGGACGAUGACCCAAACCGCCGUAGGCCGUUUGCAGCAAGAUAGAGCUCGUUCUCCCGUUCGUUUUGACUGGUCACACGCCCCAAACGGACCCCCGUAGCCCAAGUUAGAGCCAUUUCAGUGAAGCCCCUUUUGUGACCCGAUCUUGGGCCUCCAAAUACAGAAUGGCCCGCUCUUCCACGCUUGGGCCCGCAUCACUCAGGACCGGCCCUGGGCUGAAGUUACGAUGGUUUUGAAGGUUGGGUUAAUGUGUUCAAAUGAUGAGCCGUCGAGCAGGCCGAAUAUGAGGCAGGUGAUUCGGUACUUGGAGAGGGAGGCGCCCGUGCUGGAGAUUGUAGGUCCGUCGUGUGAUCAGCAUGCACCUGCAUUAGUGAAAUUGAAGUCUUUGUAAGUUUCCGGUCUGCGGUUGGUUGAUGUGUACAUAUACAAGGAUAUCAUGUUGAAGGUUGACGUUUAUAUAUAGUUGCGUUUGAUGUUAUAAUAAUGUAGUUGCAAUUUCUUUUUAA